CGCUGGCGGCGUGCCUAACACAUGCAAGUCGAGCGAGUAAAUCUCCUUCGGGAGUGAAGCUAGCGGCGACGGGUGAGUAACACGUGGCAACCUGCCUCAUAGAGGGGAAUAGCCUUCCGAAAGGAAGAUUAAUACCGCAUAAGAUUGUAGCUUCGCAUGAAGUAGCAAUUAAAGGAGCAAUCCGCUAUGAGAUGGGCCCGCGGCGCAUUAGCUAGUUGGUGAGGUAAACGGCUCACCAAGGCGACGAUGCGUAGCCGACCUGAGAGGGUGAUCGGCCACAUUGGGACUGAGACACGGCCCAGACUCCUACGGGAGGCAGCAGUGGGAAUAUUGCACAAUGGGGAAACCCUGAUGCAGCAACGCCGCGUGAGUGAUGACGGCCUUCGGGUUGUAAAGCUCUGUCUUCAGGGACGAUAAUGACGGUACCUGAGGAGGAAGCCACGGCUAACUACGUG
rnacentral:rRNA from 1 species